rnacentral:tRNA from 1 species
CCCGGUGUAGCGCAGAGGCAGACGCACCCCGUUCGCAUCGGGGGACACGCCGGUUCGAAUCCGGCCCCGGGC